CGUCUCUUCUCUUGCAAUCCGGUCCUGAAGCCAAGAAGGACCCCUAGAGCUAGGUAAGAUUGAAACCGUCCAUCCCUCAGAACACUUCUCGCUAUGUCUCAAGCAAUCCCGUUUGUCUGUAUUGUCUCUCCCUCGAAAGUAAUUGUAACAAACUUUUCUUUGAGCUUCGUUAUCUGAUGCAACAACGCCCUGUAGCGAGGCCAUUGUAGCGGUAACUUAAUAGCUUCCAUUACCUCAUUGUAGUCCAACGCAAUGAUAACGUUUGUGACUCCUAGAUCGCUCAAGCUCGUCAAAGUCCAA
rnacentral:lncRNA from 1 species